UACGGGGGGGGCAAGCGUUGUUCGGAAUUACUGGGCGUAAAGGGCUCGUAGGCGGCCAACUAAGUCAUACGUGAAAUCCCUCGGCUUAACCGGGGAACUGCGUCUGAUACUGGAUGGCUUGAGAUUGGGAGAGGGAUGCGGAAUUCCAGGUGUAGCGGUGAAAUGCGUAGAUAUCUGGAGGAACACCGGUGGCGAAGGCGGCGUCCUGGACCAACACUGACACUGAUGAGCGAAAGCCAGGGGAGCAAACGGG
rnacentral:rRNA from 1 species